rnacentral:tRNA from 1 species
GCCCGCUUAGCUCAGUGGUAGAGCGCGUCACUAGUACCUCCUGCUGAUAGCAGACGCCUUCGGGCAUGACGAGGUCGGUUGUUCGAUCCAGCCAGUGGGCA